UCUUUGCUGGAGGUAUAACCCUAUCUCCCUAAGCAAUCAGAAAGGGAAACGACAAGUGGAGUCAAAAGCCAGAUUGAAUUGUCUGCUUUAGGAGUUAGGAAGAGAUGAUUUUAAAAACCUACAAUUUUGACCGUAUUGUCUUUGUCGAUACGAAUGAUCAAAGGUUGGCCAUCUACGCCAGUAAUUUGCUGUUGUUCAGGGGCAGUAAGUUUCUGCGUUUCCCUCUCAUCAGACGAUAAUGAAACAUUCCUGAGAAACAUGGGGUACGACACAAACUUAAAGAAACAGGGGGGAGAAGAUCACAUUGUUGCAGUAGUGAAAAGCCAUGAUUAAGGUCUCUCAUGAUCAUAAUCCUAGGCUGAAGAAGAACAGAAGACAUGAACACAACUUACAAGAAGCGAAUAUAAUGCAUAUAGAGAACAAGAAGGAUUUGAUUACGGUGGAUAUUGCAAGAGAUUCUGCUCUGAAGGCACGGAGAACGUAAUAGUAAGCAUUUCGCUGGAGUAUGAUGAGUUUUUUUUUCUUGUCCAUGGAGCCGAACAGGAUUGUAUCGUCGUCAAAGCUAUAGCUCGGGAUAGUCUCUGUAAGACCUCUCUUCUUAAUCGGUAGGUCAGUUGAUUCUUCAGCCGCGGUUCAAGAAGAUCACAAGAAAAUUCACCAUCGAUCAGUCUAAUUGCAUCAAUGGGAGAAAAGAGAAAACAGAGGAGUCCCGAAACUCUAGAACCCAUGAGAAAGAUACGAAGAGAAAGAGAGAGAGAGACUUACGAGAUGGAGAGCUUGGGGCUUGAUCUUUCUGGUCCGCCAUUGUUGAGAACAGAGGAAUCGGAGCGAAGAGUCUUGUAACUUGUUGACGAGGUUUGUGCGCCUUUGAGAAAAAACCCUAGAAAUCGGAGUGAAGCAAGGAUCUUCAACAACGUUGCAUGAGAGAGAAGAAGUAACGAGAUUUUGGAUUCUCUCUUUAUGUGUUUUAUAUGCUUUUAGAGUUUUUAUACUGUAACUAACUAUACUUCGUUCCUUGAUCACUUUGACUUAAUUGGGAUUAAGUAUUGACACGUCA